rnacentral:rRNA from 1 species
AGCACCGGGUUGUCGUAGGUGACCUGCGGUAGGUCAUUACUGAGUGAGGGCCCUCUGGGUCCAACCUCCCACCCGUGUUUAUUGUACCUUGUUGCUUCGGCGGGCCCGCCUUUAUGGCCGCCGGGGGGCUUACGCUCCCGGGCCCGCGCCCGCCGAAGACACCCUCGAACUCUGUCUGAAGAUUGUAGUCUGAGUGAAAAUAUAAAUUAUUUAAAACUUUCAACAACGGAUCUCUUGGUUCCGGCAUCGAUGAAGAACGCAGCGAAAUGCGAUACGUAAUGUGAAUUGCAGAAUUCAGUGAAUCAUCGAGUCUUUGAACGCACAUUGCGCCCCCUGGUAUUCCGGGGGGCAUGCCUGUCCGAGCGUCAUUGCUGCCCUCAAGCACGGCUUGUGUGUUGGGCCCCGUCCUCCGAUCCCGGGGGACGGGCCCGAAAGGCAGCGGCGGCACCGCGUCCGGUCCUCGAGCGUAUGGGGCUUUGUCACCCGCUCUGUAGGCCCGGCCGGCGCUUGCCGAUCAACCAAAAUUUUUUCCAGGUUGACCUCGGAUCAGGUAGGGAUACCCGCUGAACUUAAGCUAUAAA